ACGAACGCUGGCGGCAUGCCUAACACAUGCCAGUCGAACGAGACCUUCGGGUCUAUUGGCGCACGGGUGCGUAACGCGUGGGAACCUGCCCUUAGGUUCGGAAUAACUCCCCGAAAGGGGGGCUAAUACCGGAUAAUGUCUUCGGACCAAAGAUUUAUCGCCUUUGGAUGGGCCCGCGUUGGAUUAGCUAGUUGGUAGGGUAAAAGCCUACCAAGGCGACGAUCCAUAGCUGGUCUGAGAGGAUGAUCAGCCACACUGGGACUGAGACACGGCCCAGACUCCUACGGGAGGCAGCAGUGGGGAAUAUUGGACAAUGGGCGAAAGCCUGAUCCAGCAAUGCCGCGUGGGUGAUGAAGGCCUUAGGGUUGUAAAGCUCUUUUACCCGGGAUGAUAAUGACAGUACCGGGAGAAUAAGCUCCGGCUAACUCCGUG
rnacentral:rRNA from 1 species